UUUUCCCUUAAUUUUUUUCUCCCCUCUUCCUGCAUUUUUGGGUUGACUUUUUGGUCUAGAAUUGGAGAAAAGGGAUCAAAUUUGCAAUUUCAUAGCAGUUUUGGGUAAUACUGAUGAUAUUACAGCGGAGGGAUAGGGGGUGUAAAGUGUCUUUCUGCAGAGCAGUCAUUGUGUCGGAAGUGAGAUUUUCACCCCAGUCAACUUCAAAUCCGUGUAGCAAAAAAUCUAAAUGGUCAACCCCCUACAAAAUUAUGAUGAGGAGAUUGCCAAAUGUUGUCCCCAUUGUGCCUAUAAAGAUUGGAACCAACGGAAUGUUGAGAAAAAAGCUACAGCCUGUGAUGUUACAGCCAUUUAACAUUGAAGUCAAUGGGCAAAUAAUUGCUAGUCUGAGUCCUGAUGAGAUAAAGAAACAUGGCCGACUCGGGAUGUUGAUAUUUUUUCAAGGGCUUAUUUCCUGAAGUUUUGAAUGGAAAGUGUCAGAAAUAGUAAGAAUACUGCUUUUUUAUUGCCCAGCAGUGCCAGGGCAAUGUUUCAUAGAGUGGAAUGAUUGACCUCAACACAAGUAUUAAAAAAAAAGAAGCAAAACAGGUCUACAUCUCAAAACCUGAUCUCUUCCUGGACUGGCUUUAGGAGAACGAUGAUGCAUAUCAAUUUCAUCCCUGAUCUCUAUGACACCUGUGGUGGAAGUGGAGGGCAAAUCGUAAUCAGUUUGGGACCUCUGUAAACUUUGCUUUUUGGUGAUGACUUAAUUUCCGAGCUUGAAAAGGACGCUUGUGUGUUUAUCAUGGCCUCUCAUAUUGGAAGAUAACAUUAAUGGCUUGUGUGUUGAUCGACGGUUGUGCAUAUCUCUUGGUCAGGAAAGUUGUAGGCACCAUCGCCAUUGUAAAUCAUUUGACAGGCUCGAGUGAACGGGGCGACCUAUGAUUGGUCAGCAAUGUAUCAGAUUCCAUACCGGGGGGUGGGGAUGAAAAAGCUGUUGUAGUGUUACAUAAUCAGAUUAUUUCAACUUACUUAUCCUGUGGAAAUACAGCUAUAUAGGAGAUAUUUUGAAAUUCAUAGGCACUGCAUGUUUCAACAUUUUAGAUUUGACCACAAUUUGGCACUUAAAACUAUGUUAACAGAGAAAAACUGUGUGGUUUUCGAUGAAAGUGUUAAAAGUCUAAUAUUGCAUCAUGAUUACUGUUUUAAAGUAUUUUCGUGUUUGAUUUAUAUUGAAUUCAUCUCAUCUUUUUGAAGAAUGCAUUUAUGUUCAAAAAUAAAAAUGUUCUGUGGAAUUCAAAAUUCAUGUGCUUUUAAAUUAUCAGAUUCCAAACUGGGGGGUAGGGAUGAAAAAGCUGUUGUAGUGUUACAUAAUCAGAUUAUUUCAACUUACUUAUCCUAUGGAAAUACAGCUAUAUAGGAGAUAUUUUAAAAUUGAUAGGCACUGCAUGUUUCAACAUUUUAGAUUUGACCACAAUUUGGCACUUGAAACUACGUUAACAGAGAAAAACUGUGUGGUUUUCGAUGAAAGUGUUAAAAAGUCUAAUAUUG